GUGGUNCNCAGAGCGUUAGUCUAACCGCAAGGGGGACGACGCCCACGGAGUGGUCCAUGACUGGGGUG
rnacentral:rRNA from 1 species